CUAAGCCGCGGAGAACUGUACUGUUUGUAAAGUCUUCAUGUAGAUUCAACCUUUCUCUUCCCCUAAAAACAAAAUUACCACGUUCGAUUUAUUAUUUUCGUAUAGUGUAUUAGAAUACGCACUGGUCGAGAAUGGGUUAAUCGUUCCCUGCUUACGAUCAGAAAUUAUUUCCCUGAUUUUGAUAUUCGGUUGAAUAAAGUAUUGUGGGCUAGUUUCCGAUAUUAAUUACAAUAAAAUGAAAGCAACCAAAGUUUGGAUGUCUACAAAGUCGAAAUAUUCCUUAUAUCAUACAAUUAUUUGUUUAAACACAGCGAAAUUACAAAACAGCUGACUGCGUGUUGUUUAAUUAAAUAUUUUCUUUGUCCGAACUGAAUAAUCUUAUAUACAGCUUAAGAUUUAUUUACCAUUCAAAAUGGAUGAAAGGGAACAAUCCCAGCUGACUGCCAGGUAACAAUGAUACCAUUGUUUUCCCCCAACCCACUCUGACGACCCAAUCCCUAAUCGCGCUACCGUUACAACUACAUCGAGAGCCACGAGCUUCUUGUACUAGGCUUGAAAUAAAAUGGCAGCCAUACAGCUGUGAUAUUGGGAGAGAUAAGACGCGCGGAAACGUACAUACAUAUGCCGGUUUCAAAGCAGAGCUUUGGGCCGCCCACGCUGCUGCAUUCUUAUCACGUCUAAGGCCCCCUCAUGUGGAAAAGGGAAAAGAUUUCAAUCCGAGCUAUAAUUAAUUUUUAAUUUAGUUUUUUUUUAAAUUAAAAACAACAACUCAACAAAAGGAGACAGCAAAUAAUAUUCAACAGAAACGCAACAAAGCAAACAGCAAAUAAUAUUCAACGCUACAGAAUUAUGGGAACAGGGUUUUUUUUGUAUCAGAUAAUAUUAAAGGGGAAUUCAAACCGUGUUCUAAGUACAUGCGGUACAUAUAAUGUGGGGACGGGCUCUUCAGUUUUACUCGUAGUAGUACAACCAUCCUGAACGUCCAAUAUUUGCAUAUCAUUAAGCUCACCUCUGAUUAAUCACUAAUGCAAUUUCGGUGUCAGUAUUUGCGAUUUUGAAGCCUUUCUCAUCCUCACGGAAGGCCAUUCGAGGAGUCAUGCCUUUUAAGCGCCUUUUCUGGAUGGAAGCGCUCCAGAAGGACACUUAGACAGCGGCGCUGCAGAUGCUUACCGCCUGGGCACAGAACAAAGCGCCGCAGGACUUCUGUGUCGGACCCAGUUGCAUGCGUCCUAUGUGCGCUCUAAAUGAAAUUUGUAUGCAUGUAUGACAGCGCCCGACCAUUGUGCCCUACCUGGAUCCUAUCGGUCGGUGUGCACUUAUGUUGACUCACUGCAAGAUCGGUUUUACAGCUGUCACCAAAGGGAUGCAAUUCUGCAUGGACUACUGCAACACUUGCUCCCGUCUUUGGAUAAAUGUACAAAUGAAAAAUCCUUGGUUUUUAUGGAUUCAUUGUAUCAUUAUAGGUUGCUCGGACUCUACAAUUUUAGUAGAUGAAGAAG